rnacentral:lncRNA from 1 species
CCGGUCUCUUUAAUCUUGCCUCAGAUGGUUCUGUGGCUGCUCCUCUCUUGAUUAGCAACUGUUGUGCCCUUUGGAACUUAGAGAAAGUCAUGGAACCUGGAGUCUUGCCUAAGAGAAACGGGGGACAGAAAGGCCUCCAUGCCCAGGAACCUCAUAGGGCCCUGCUCAGCCUCAGUAGAUGCACUUCCAGUCGCUUGCCUUCAGGAGAGCAUUGGAAGGUCUUCAUAAAGACCAACAGGCCUUUCCUCUGCUCUCCUUCUGGACUCCAUCACUUCAGGACAAAGCUGGGACCACUUCUCAGGACUGACUUUUGGACUCUCUGA